rnacentral:lncRNA from 1 species
AGAUCCCCCCCAGCCCCACAGCAGCCCUACGGCCAUCAGGUCUACCCAUAGACUUCAAUGGGCCUCUACCCCAUCUUACCCCCAGCCCCAUAGAACCCCCCCAGCCGCCCCAUAAGUCCCUCUCCAGCCCCAUAGGAACCCCAAUAACCCCACAAAAGCCCCCCCAGCCCCAUAGAUCUCUGGGGCAGCCCUACAUCCUGGCUGAGCAUCGUGUGAGCAGCCUCUGCCAUAACGUUGAUGGCGUCGCGCGUCCGUUUGCGGUCGAUAAAAAUGAUCCCCCCCAGCCAACAGGCGGCCCCCACGGCCCCCAUGUACAGCAGCUCCCUUUUGGCAAUGGGCACACAGCGGUCCGGCAGCACCUCCAUCAUCCCUGGGGGGGGCAAGGGGGGAAAGGUUAUGGGGCGGCUGUGGGGCUGGGGGGGGUUCUAUGGGGCUGGGGGUAAGAUGGGGUAGAGGCCCAUUGAGGUCUAUGGGUAGACCUGAUGGCUGCGUGGCUGCUGGGAGUUUGGGAAGGGAUCUAUGGGGCUACGUAGAAUCUAUGGGGCUGGACGGGUUGUUGUGGGGUUAUCAGGGUUCCUAUGGGGCUGGUGAGGGACUUAUGGGGCGGCUGGGGGGGUUCUAUGGGGCUGGGUGGGGUGGGUGUGGAGGGGCCCAUUGAAGUCUAUGGGCAGCUGUUGUAUGGGACUUCCUAUGGGGCAGCUAUAGGGGAUCUAUGGGGCAGCCAGGGGACAUCUGUGGGGUAUCUAUGGGGCAGCUAUGGGGUACCUAUGGGGUAUCUAUGGGGCAGCUAUGGGGCAGCUAUGGGGCAGCCAUGGGACAUCUAUGGGAGAGGUAUGGGUUAUCUAUGGGGUGGUUAUGGGGUAUCUAUGCGGUAUCUAUGGGGCAGCCGUGGGACACCUACAGGACAUCUAUGGGGCAGCUAUGGGGCAGCUAUGGGGCAGCUAUGGGACAUCAAUAGGACAUCUAUAGGGCGGCCAUGGCACAUCUAUGGGACAUGCAUGGCGCAGCUAUGGGGCAGCUAUGGGGCAGCUAUGGGACAUCUAUGGGGCAGCUAUGGGGCAUCUAUAGGACAUCUAUGGGGCAGCUAUGGGACAUCUAUGGGAUAUCUAUAGGGCAUCUAUGGGGCAGCUAUGGGGCAGCUCUGGCACAUCUAUGGGAUAUCUAUAGGGCAUCUAUGGGGCAUCUAUGGGGUAGCUAUGGGGCAUCUAUGGCACAUCUAUGGCACAUCUAUGGGGCAGCUAUGGGGCAGCUAUGGGGCAUCUAUGGGACAUCUAUGGGGCAGCUAUGGGGCAGCUAUGGCACAUCUAUGGGGCAGCCAUGGGGCAGCUAUAGGACAUCUAUGGGGCAUCUAUGGGGCAGCUAUGGCACAUCUAUGGGAUAUCUAUAGGGCAGCUAUGGGGCAGCUAUGGGGCAGCUAUGGCACAUCUAUGGGGCAGCUAUGGGGCAACUAUGGGACAUCUAUGGGGCAGCUAUGGGACAUCUAUGGGUUGCCUAUGAGGCAGCUAUGGGGCAGCUAUGGGACAUCUGUGGGGCAUCUGUGGGACAUCUAUGGCACAUCUAUGGGGCAGCUAUGGGACAUCUAUGGGGCAGCUAUGGAGCAGCUGUAGGACAUCUAUGGGGCAGCUAUGGGGCAGCUAUGGGACAUCUAUGGCAAAUCUAUGGGACAUCUAUGGGGCAGCUAUGGGGCAGCUAUGGCACAUCUAUGGGACAUCUAUGGGGCAGCUAUGGGACAUCUAUGGGGCAGCUAUGGGGCAGCUAUGACACAUUUACGGGACAUCUAUGCGACAUCUAUGGCACAUCUAUGGCACAUCUAUAGGGCAUCUAUAGGACAUCUAUGGGGCAUCUAUAGGACAUCUAUGGGGCAGCUAUGGGGCAGCUAUGGGUUGCCUAUGAGGCAGCUAUGGCACAUCUAUGGGGCAGCUAUGGGGCAGCCAUGACACAUUUAUGGGACAUCUAUGGGGCAUCUAUGCGACAUCUAUGGCACAUCUAUGGGACAUCUAUAGGGCAUCUAUAGG